rnacentral:rRNA from 1 species
CACCUGCAUUAUUUGACGUUACCUACAGAAGAAGCACCGGCUAACUCCGUGCCAGCAGCCGCGGUAAUACGGAGGGUGCGAGCGUUAAUCGGAAUUACUGGGCGUAAAGCGCAUGCAGGCGGCCUGUUAAGUCAGAUGUGAAAGCCCGGGCGUUAACCUCGGAAUUGCAUUUGAAACUGGCAGGCUAGAGUCUUGUAGAGGGGGGUAGGAAGUUUCAGGUGUAGCGGUGAAAUGCGUAGAGAUCUGAAGGAAUACCAGUGGCGAAGGCGGCCCCCUGGACAAAGACUGACGCUCAGAUGCGAAAGCGUGGGGAGCAAACAGGAUUAGAUACCCUGGUAG